UUUUAGUGCUAUAUAAAAUUAUCUAAUUUACUUGUUGCCAAACUAAAUGAACAUUUAAAUGUUGAUUUAAAAAAAAGAAAAAAAAAACUAUGCAGAAUUCACAUCAGCAUUAACGUUACGGUGCAGUCCCUGCUCUCCUCUCCUCUUCUCUGUUUCUUUGCUCGGAGUAUCGCUCCUGCAGGAAUUACUGGCCUGUCUGAUCUGAUUGCCGCUGAAAAAAAAGGAAGGAAGAAAAGAAAAACGAAUAAAGGACGAAGCGAGACAUCAGCGCGACGAUCUCGGCGGCGUUAACUAGUGAUCGUAAAAAGCGCCAGAGUCCAGCCGCAUCCGAAAUGGAAACCUCUUUUUCCACCGUCGCCUUCGGGGGUGAAUAAACAACAGGAAACGGGAUGAGAAGGGGGGGAAAAAUCCAUUGAGUCUUGGGAAGAAAAUGAGAGUGGCACCUGAUGAUGUCGACUUUGACACGUGUUAAUUGCUGCUCAGCUCUCCUCAUCAGGGAGUCUCAAAUUAUUUUAGCGCUCCGGGCCACAGCGCCUUGUUUGCUUUGCUGAGGAAAGGAAGCAAGCUGGCCCAAACUUCAAAUGAUAAAAUGGCUUCAUCGAUAGAAAAAUCAGACAAAACUGCUUCACUGCACUUCUGGCUACAUUUAAACAUCUUUGAUUUCAGUUUCCUGCUGUAUCCUCAGCUUUUACCAACAACGCUCCUCUCAACCAACAUACUCAAAUACACAGUUUUACUUCAGUGCCUGAGAGCACCAGUACUCACCUUCUUUACUUCACACUUCUUACCUGUUGACAUGUAUUUAUAAGGCCUUGCAUGGUGAAUUAUAAAGCCUUUGUUAUUGCCUGGCUUGGGGUUGGCCACUUGUUUAUGACACCAGUAAUGGUGGUAAUUGUUAUUGUUGAGAUUACCUGUCAAGAGGACCUGGACAGUGAGCUUGGAGAAAGCGUUGCUCUCUUGACAAGGGGUGACAGGGGUGUGGGGAAGAGGAUGUGGGGGGAUUGGGGGUUGGAGGCGAGGCUGGGAUGCCCUGAUGACUUCUCCGCUGAUAAUCAGCUACCGUGGCCUGUGGGAUAAUUCAGCUGUCAGUGCCACCUAACAGGGCCCAGCAUCAGCCGGCCGACCCCAGCUGGCGUCAUUCAUUUGGACUGAAGAUGGGGAUGAAGGCCUGAGGAGGGGUGAAGGGAUGCAAGAGCAGAGGAAUAAGGACAACGUCUACAUAUUUGAUUGCUGGAGUUGGCCUUUAAAUGCAGUAAUUUAAAGUUAUCAUCAAACAUUUUUUAUAGUUUUUGAAAAAAAUGUCUUUUAAAUUUUGCGCCUAAAAGUGCCUUUUUCAAAUUAACAGCUGAUUGAAUGUUUAAACCUCGCUUUGGUGAAAAACCGAAGUAUUAAAUGUGUUUUAAAUUGUAUUUCACAUAAGGUCUUAUUUUCUUUGUAUAAAAAACAGUUUCAGUUUUUUUGCAAAGGCACAUAGCAAGUCCUCACAACACUGCACCUAACAACAUAGAGCAGAUCCUUUAUGCCAUAUGAUCUAAAUGCUUUGUGAAGAAUUUCUGCAACCAGGACUGAGCAGGCGAUUGCAGUAAUUCUUGAGAUGUUCACUUGCAUCUUAAAUCAACAUGACGCUGUAAUAAGUGUAUUUUGUUGAAAAUGAAAUUACUUUUAAAUUGAGCCACUACAACAAAUUCAAAGCUUAAUAAUAUAAAGGUUAAUUGCAUGCAAUAUGUCAUGUAUAGAAAUUGUUGAAAAUGUGACUACCUAUUUGCAACCUUUUAAGGUCCUUCCUAAUUCCUUCUGUAAAAGCAGACUCGUUGUCUUCCUGGACACGUGUGCAUCAUAAAGAGGGCAGCAGCAGCUAAAAUGGCAGGCAAAUCACUUUUCGAAUGGUUUUGGAGCAGCUAUCAGUGUCAUCCCUGAAAGGCUGUCUUUAUCAAUGAUACUGGCUGAUAUGGUGGGG